rnacentral:rRNA from 1 species
GAGCUAACGCAGUUAAGUCGACCGCCUGGGGAGUACGGCCGCAAGGUUAAAACUCAAAUGAAUUGACGGGGGCCCGCACAAGCGGUGGAGCAUGUGGUUUAAUUCGAUGCAACGCGAAGAACCUUACCUACUCUUGACAUCCAGAGAACUUAGCAGAGAUGCUUUGGUGCCUUCGGGAACUCUGAGACAGGUGCUGCAUGGCUGUCGUCAGCUCGUGUUGUGAAAUGUUGGGUUAAGUCCCGCAACGAGCGCAACCCUUAUCCUUUGUUGCCAGCGGUUCGGCCGGGAACUCAAAGGAGACUGCCAGUGAUAAACUGGAGGAAGGUGGGGAUGACGUCAAGUCAUCAUGGCCCUUACGAGUAGGGCUACACACGUGCUACAAUGGCGCAUACAAAGAGAAGCGACCUCGCGAGAGCAAGCGGACCUCAUAAAGUGCGUCGUAGUCCGGAUUGGAGUCUGCAACUCGACUCCAUGAAGUCGGAAUCGCUAGUAAUCGUAGAUCAGAAUGCUACGGUGAAUACGUUCCCGGGCCUUGUACUCACCGCCCGUCAA